UAAUGGUUCACAGAGCUUUGUCUGAAGAUCUCCACCUCCUGCGGCCGCCGCCUGAACCUCCGCCGCCGAGAUGGAGGAGAAGCAUAUCGAACAAUAUUCUUGUCAGCGGCAUAAGGGUACGAUCUCUUAGAAUGUGAA